GGGUCAGUAGGUUGGUCGUGCCACCGGUACGUACUGGUCUCACUGAUUCCUCCUUCCUGAAGAACCGUAAUGCCAUUAAUUUGGUGUUGCGGGGAAACAGGACUGUUACUUUGAAAAAAUUAGAGUGUUUAAAGCAAGCUAACGCUUGAAUACAUUAGCAUGGAAUAAUGAAAUAGGACGAUCGACCCUACUUUGUUGGUUUCUAGGAUUGACGUA
rnacentral:rRNA from 1 species